rnacentral:ncRNA from 1 species
GCAUCACAGGUCUGUGGCUGAAAGUCGAUGGCAGUCGCAGCCAAAACGAUCCACGUAACGCAGUCAAAAGGGCUGCUGAGCAUGGUGCGGUUUUAGAAGUAAGUCCUGCCGGGAAAACCGAGAGAGUGAGUUGUGAGAGGCAAGCGCCGGGUAGCUAAAGCUCCAGCAGGCGAGUGUGGGGUCAAAAGCCAGGUCAGCUGUAGAUGC